rnacentral:sRNA from 1 species
GCGGAGGAAAAGAAACCAACAGGGAUUGCCCUAGUAACGGCGAGUGAAGCGGCAACAGCUCAAAUUUGAAAUCUGGCGUCUUCGGCGUCCGAGUUGUAAUUUGCAGAGGGCGCUUUGGCAUCGGCAGCGGUCCAAGUUCCUUGGAACAGGACGUCACAGAGGGUGAGAAUCCCGUACGUGGUCGCUAGCCUUUACCGUGUAAAGCCCCUUCGACGAGUCGAGUUGUUUGGGAAUGCAGCUCUAAAUGGGAGGUAAAUUUCUUCUAAAGCUAAAUACUGGCCAGAGACCGAUAGCGCACAAGUAGAGUGAUCGAAAGAUGAAAAGCACUUUGGAAAGAGAGUUAAAAAGCACGUGAAAUUGUUGAAAGGGAAGCGCUUGCAGCCAGACUUGCCUGUAGUUGCUCAUCCGGGUUUCUACCCGGUGCACUCUUCUAUAGGCAGGCCAGCAUCAGUUUGGGCGGUUGGAUAAAGGUCUCUGUCAUGUACCUCUCUUCGGGGAGAACUUAUAGGGGAGACGACAUGCAACCAGCCUGGACUGAGGUCCGCGCAUCUGCUAGGAUGCUGGCGUAAUGGCUGUAAGCGGCCCGUCUUGAAACACGGACCAAGGAGUCUAACAUCUAUGCGAGUGUUUGGGUGUCAAGCCCGAGCGCGUAAUGAAAGUGAACGGAGGUGGGAACCUUUCGGGGUGCACCAUCGACCGAUCCUGAUGUCUUCGGAUGGAUUUGAGUAAGAGCAUAGCUGUUGGGACCCGAAAGAUGGUGAACUAUGCUUGAAUAGGGUGAAGCCAGAGGAAACUCUGGUGGAGGCUCGCAGCGGUUCUGACGUGCAAAUCGAUCGUCAAAUUUGGGCAUAGGGGCGAAAGACUAAUCGAACUAUCUAGUAGCUGGUU